UGAAUACGAGACGCUAAGGCGUCGAAGUAGUGUAUGUCAUACUUCCAAGAAAAGCUUGCACUGUCAUAAGUAAAAAAUGCCUGUACCAUAACCGACACAGGUGGGUAGGUAGAGUAUACUAAGGGGCGCGAGAUAACUCUCUCUAAGGAACUCGGCAAAAUAACUCCGUAACUUCGGGAGAAGGAGUACCUUAUUCUAUAAGGUUGCAAUAACAAGAUCCAAGCAACUGUUUAUCAAAAACACAGGUCUCCGCUAAGUCGUAAGACGAUGUAUGGGGGCUGACGCCUGCCCAGUGCCAGAAGGUUAAAGAAGUCGGUUAGCAUUAGCGAAGCUGGUAACUGAAGCCCUGGUGAACGGCGGCCGUAACAAUAACGGUCCUAAGGUAGCGAAAUUCCUUGUCGGGUAAGUUCCGACCCGCACGAAAGGCGUAAUGAUUUGGAUACUGUCUCGGAGAGGGGCUCGGUGAAAUAGACUUGUCUGUGAAGAUGCGGACUACCUGCACCAGGACAGAAAGACCCUAUGAAGCUUUACUGUAACUUGAAAUUGAAAUUGGACUUUAUUCGCGCAGUAUAGGUGGGAGGUGUUGAUUAUAAUCUUGCGGGAUUAUUGGAGCCAUCAGUGAGAUACCACUCUUGUAAUGUUAGAUUUCUAACUUUGAAUCAUUAUCUGGUCAAAGGACAGUUUCAGGCGGGCAGUUUGACUGGGGCGGUCGCCUCCCAAACGGUAACGGAGGCGUACAAAGGUUUCCUCUGAACGGGUAGAAAUCGUAUCUAGAGUGUAAAGGCAUAAGGAAGCUUGACUGUGAGACCUACAAGUCGAACAGGGACGAAAGUCGGUCUUAGUGAUCUGACGGUACUGAGUGGAAAGGCCGUCACUCAACGGAUAAAAGUUACUCUAGGAUAACAGGCUGAUCUCCCCCAAGAGUUCACAUCGACGGGGAGGUUUGGCACCUCGAUGUCGGCUCAUCGCAUCCUGGGGCGGUAGUACGUCCCAAGGGUUGGGCUGUUCGCCCAUGAAAGCGGUACGCGAGCUGGGUUCAGAACGUCGUGAGACAGUUCGGUCCAUAUCCGGUGUAGGCGUUAGAAUAUUGAGAGGAGCCUUCUUUAGUACGAGAGGACCGAGAAGGACAUACCUCUGGUGUACCAGUUAUCGUGCCAACGGUAAACGCUGGGUAGCUAUGUAUGGAGUGGAUAACCGCUGAAAGCAUCUAAGUGGGAAGCCCACCUCAAGAUAAGUAUUCUC
rnacentral:rRNA from 1 species